AGCUGGUGACCUGUUUCAUUUUGAGUAGAAAUGUAACCUAGGACAAUUUAAGACAUUUAGUUCUCUUACUUUUGAUAAUACUGGCUCGUAUCUAGUUACCUGCUAUGACUCUGUUAAGAUCAGGACUUUUUUUUUUUUUUUUUUAAACAGCUUUUCUGGCUAGGUUUCAGUUUCGUUUCAUUUUCUAUCACUUUGGUUUCAGUUCUGUUUCUCAGGAUACUCUCUUUCCCUUUCCAGGGGUAGUAUCUGAUCCUUUUAGAAUCGUUCCUUUGUGAUUCCUUCUGAUUAAGAUACACGAAUUACUCUAAGGCAGAUAUUCCCAAACGGGAUGUUUAAAAAGCAGUUUUAAAACUUAGUACCAGGCAAAUUCGGUCCAGCAUUAAGCAAAAGGCACUUGCUUUAUUAGUAUCAUAAAUUUGCCUAAUAGCUGUCUCAGUGUGUAUGUCCCAUGGCUGACUUAUUUUGUGUGUGGUUCUUGACGUGUCAAAAGAUCACCAAGAAUCCCUGUCACCCUGAUCAGUCAAAGACAGAGAUCACAAGUAGGCAAAGAGGCAGGCGGGGAGCCUGA
rnacentral:lncRNA from 1 species